rnacentral:rRNA from 1 species
CCUACGGGAGGCAGCAGUGAGGAAUAUUGGUCAAUGGACGAGAGUCUGAACCAGCCAAGUAGCGUGAAGGAUGACUGCCCUAUGGGUUGUAAACUUCUUUUAUAUGGGAAUAAAACGUUCCACGUGUGGGAUUUUGUAUGUACCAUAUGAAUAAGGAUCGGCUAACUCCGUGCCAGCAGCCGCGGUAAUACGGAGGAUCCGAGCGUUAUCCGGAUUUAUUGGGUUUAGAGGGAGCGUAGGUGGAUUGUUAAGUCAGUUGUGAAAGUUUGCGGCUCAACCGUAAAAUUGCAGUUGAAACUGGCAGUCUUGAGUACAGUAGAGGUGGGCGGAAUUCGUGGUGUAGCGGUGAAAUGCUUAGAUAUCACGAAGAACUCCGAUUGCGAAGGCAGUUCACUGGACUGCAACUGACACUGAGGCUCGAAAGUGUGGGUAUCAAACAGGAUUAGAUACCCUAGUAGUC